rnacentral:rRNA from 1 species
ACACCGCCUGUCGCUACUACCGAUUGAAUGGCUUAGUGAGAUUUCCGGAUUGGCGUUGGGGAGCCGGCAACGGCACCCCUUGGCCGAGAAGUUACUCAAACUUGGUCAUUUAGAGGAAGUAAAAGUCAUAACAAGGUUUCCGUAGGUGAACCUGCGGAAGGAUCAUUA